GGGCUCUUGGUACAGGGGUAGCGCGCACGCUUCGCAUCUUCAAGAUGACUGCGUGAGGUCGCGAGUUCAAUUCUCGCAGUGUCCA